GAUGAACGCUAGCUACAGGCUUAACACAUGCAAGUCGAGGGGUAACGAGAGGAAAGCUUGCUUUCCUUGUCGACGACCGGCGCACGGGUGAGUAACGCGUAUCCAACCUGCCCCCAACUAGGGAAUAACCUUGCGAAAGUAAGACUAAUACCCUAUAAUUUCCUCAGAUGUCAUCUGACGAGGAAUAAAGAUUUAUCGGUUGUGGAUGGGGAUGCGUCUGAUUAGCUUGUUGGCGGGGUAACGGCCCACCAAGGCAACGAUCAGUAGGGAUUCUGAGAGGAAGGUCCCCCACAUUGGAACUGAGACACGGUCCAAACUCCUACGGGAGGCAGCAGUGAGGAAUAUUGGUCAAUGGGCGGAAGCCUGAACCAGCCAAGUAGCGUGCAGGAUGACGGCCCUAUGGGUUGUAAACUGCUUUUAUACAGGAAUAAAGUUAGCCACGUGUGGUUAUUUGUAGGUACUGUAUGAAUAAGGACCGGCUAAUUCCGUGCCAGCAGCAGCCGCCG
rnacentral:rRNA from 1 species